UACACACCGCCCGUCACAUCACGAAAGCGGGUUGUACUAGAAGGUCCGCAGGCCGACCCGCAAGGGGGGCAGCGGCCCAAGGUAUGACUCGUGAUUGGGGGGGUG
rnacentral:rRNA from 1 species